GGUCAAGCGAACAAGUGCAUGUGGUGGAUGCCUUGGCGAUCACAGGCGAUGAAGGACGCGGUAGCCUGCGAAAAGCGGUGGGGAGCUGGCAAACGAGCUUUGAUCCACCGAUAUCCGAAUGGGGAAACCCGGCCCGUAUGGGUCACCCUAGAGUGAAUACAUAGCUCUAGUGGAGCGAACGCGGUGAACUGAAACAUCUAAGUAACCGCAGGAACAGAAAUCAACCGAGAUUCCCAAAGUAGUGGCGAGCGAAAUGGGAUCAGCCUGUACUCUUUAUUUUUAUUGUUAGCUGAACGCUCUGGAAAGUGCGGCCAUAGCAGGUGAUAGCCCUGUAAGCGAAAACAGUAGAAAAGAACUAGGGGUACGAGAAGUAGGGCGGGACACGUGAAAUCCUGUCUGAAGAUGGGGGGACCAUCCUCCAAGGCUAAAUAUUCGUGAUCGACCGAUAGUGAACCAGUACCGUGAGGGAAAGGCGAAAAGAACCCCGGGAGGGGAGUGAAAUAGAUCCUGAAACCGCAUGCAUACAAACAGUCGGAGCCUCGCAAGGGGUGACGGCGUACCUUUUGUAUAAUGGGUCAGCGACUUACGUUCAGUAGCGAGCUUAACUGAUUAAGGCAGGCGUAGCGAAAGCGAGUCCGAAUAGGGCGAUCAGUUGCUGGGCGUAGACCCGAAACCAAGUGAUCUAUCCAUGGCCAGGUUGAAGGUGCGGUAACACGUACUGGAGGACCGAACCCACUAACGUUGAAAAGUUAGGGGAUGAGCUGUGGAUAGGGGUGAAAGGUUAAACAAACUUGGAAAUAGCUGGUUCUCUCCGAAAACUAUUUAGGUAGUGCCUCGUGUAUCACCUUCGGGGGUAGAGCACUGUCAUGGUUGUGGGGUCCAUUGCGGAUUACUAAGCCAUAGCAAACUCCGAAUACCGAAGAGUGCAAUCACGGGAGACAGACAUCGGGUGCUAACGUCCGGUGUCAAGAGGGAAACAACCCAGACCGCCAGCUAAGGUCCCUAAGAUUGGCUAAGUGGGAAACGAAGUGGGAAGGCUAAAACAGUCAGGAGGUUGGCUUAGAAGCAGCCACCCUUUAAAGAAAGCGUAAUAGCUCACUGAUCGAGUCGUCCUGCGCGGAAGAUGUAACGGGGCUCAAGCCAGUCACCGAAGCUGCGGAUGCGCACGUAAGUGCGUGUGGUAGGAGAGCGUUCCGUAAGCCUGCGAAGGUGCGUUGAAAAGCGUGCUGGAGGUAUCGGAAGUGCGAAUGCUGACAUGAGUAGCGGUAAAGGGGGUGAAAAGCCCCCUCGCCGUAAGCCCAAGGUUUCCUACGCAACGUUUAUCGGCGUAGGGUGAGUCGGCCCCUAAGGUGAGGCAGAAAUGCGUAGCUGAUGGGAAGCAGGUCAAUAUUCCUGCACCAUUGUUAGAUGCGAUGGGGGGACGGAUCGCGGAAGGUUGUCCGGGUGUUGGACGUCCCGGUCGCUGCAUUGGAGAGGGUGCUUAGGCAAAUCCGGGCACAGGACUCAAGGGUGUGGCGCGAGUGACUUCGGUCACGAAGCAAUUGGAAGUGGUUCCAAGAAAAGCCUCUAAGCUUCAGUCUAAUAAUGACCGUACCGCAAACCGACACAGGUGGGCGAGAUGAGUAUUCUAAGGCGCUUGAGAGAACUCGGGAGAAGGAACUCGGCAAAUUGGUACCGUAACUUCGGGAUAAGGUACGCCUCUGUAGCUUAACCAGCCUGCGCUGGAAGGGUGAAGAGGUUGCAAUAAACUGGUGGCUGCGACUGUUUAAUAAAAACACAGCACUCUGCAAACACGAAAGUGGACGUAUAGGGUGUGACGCCUGCCCGGUGCCGGAAGAUUAAAUGAUGGGGUGCAAGCUCUUGAUUGAAGUCCCGGUAAACGGCGGCCGUAACUAUAACGGUCCUAAGGUAGCGAAAUUCCUUGUCGGGUAAGUUCCGACCUGCACGAACGGCGUAACGAUGGCCACACUGUCUCCUCCCGAGACUCAGCGAAGUUGAAGUGUUUGUGAUGAUGCAAUCUCCCCGCGGCUAGACGGAAAGACCCCAUGAACCUUUACUGUAGCUUUGCAUUGGACUUUGACCCGAUCUGUGUAGGAUAGGUGGGAGGCUAUGAAAGCAGGACGCUAGUCUUGCUGGAGCCGUCCUUGAAAUACCACCCUGGUUUGUUUGAGGUUCUAACCUUGGUCCGUGAUCCGGAUCGGGGACAGUGCAUGGUAGGCAGUUUGACUGGGGCGGUCUCCUCCCAAAGCGUAACGGAGGAGUACGAAGGUACGCUAGGUACGGUCGGAAAUCGUGCUGAUAGUGCAAUGGCAUAAGCGUGCUUAACUGCGAGACCGACAAGUCGAGCAGGUGCGAAAGCAGGUCAUAGUGAUCCGGUGGUUCUGUAUGGAAGGGCCAUCGCUCAACGGAUAAAAGGUACUCUGGGGAUAACAGGCUGAUACCGCCCAAGAGUUCAUAUCGACGGCGGUGUUUGGCACCUCGAUGUCGGCUCAUCUCAUCCUGGGGCUGUAGCCGGUCCCAAGGGUAUGGCUGUUCGCCAUUUAAAGAGGUACGUGAGCUGGGUUUAAAACGUCGUGAGACAGUUUGGUCCCUAUCUGCCGUGGGCGUUGGAUAUUUGAAGGGGGCUGCUCCUAGUACGAGAGGACCGGAGUGGACGAACCUCUGGUGUACCGGUUGUGACGCCAGUCGCAUCGCCGGGUAGCUAUGUUCGGAAGAGAUAACCGCUGAAAGCAUCUAAGCGGGAAACUCGCCUUAAGAUGAGAUAUCCCCGGGGCUUCGAGCCCCUUGAAGGGUCGUUCCAGACCAGGACGUUGAUAGGUCAGGUGUGUAAGUGCAGUAAUGCAUUGAGCUAACUGAUACUAAUUGCCCGUAAGGCUUGAUCCUA
rnacentral:rRNA from 1 species